AUUCAUCUGCCAUAAACAAAAUUCAAAGAGAAAAAAAAAAAUAUGUAAUGUUCUUCUUCCCCGUCAAAACCCCAACCACAACUCCCAAACCCACCGCCGUCGUCGGAUUCCCCGAAUCUCCGUCAUUUCGUCCUCCGACCUCAUCACCGCCUCCGCCAUCAGCCGACGACCCGCCACCAGCCAAAGACCACCCUCAAUCAGUCCUGCCCCUUUCCGGCACUCGCGAUCUAGGUGAGAAGCUUGCAAUGGUGAGUCGAAGGACGAGAGAUAAAUGGUUGCAAUGGUUGAAGAGAGGAAGUAAUUUGCAACAAAGACUGCCAUUUUUGGAACUCAAAGUGCCAAAAUGAUAUGUUAGAGGAUGCAUAUUGAAAUUAAGGCAACUGAAAUGAUAAUAUUUGCAACCCAAAGAAUCCUACACUUUGAGGAACAUGAAACUUUUUACGGCCAGACCAAUCUCCAAUCUCGAGAUCGAUCGACGAAGAAAUGGACAAAUACAGUUAGGUGCACUUUUAUUGGAAGCAUUUGCUGAAUAAAUGGAUGCAUAUCUCUCGCCAACGAUGAUCAAACUGGACCUAUGGUGGCCAUUCUUCAAUUUUGCAGAUUAAGACUUAGGUAUGUGAUAUUUAACGCUAAUUCAUAUUUUAUACUGUAGUUUUUGUACAUUUUCAUUAUUUCACCCUGAAAUCAAAAUUAGAAACCACGAGUAUACCAAAUGAUCUAUAUGGAGCCUUAACUACAAAGAGAAGUAAAAAAAAUAUUCGUUAAAAUUUUCAUUGAAAAAACUUAACUAUAAAAACUAAUCUUAUAUUUUAAUCUAUGAACUCGCGGGCUUGCUGUGAGUGAAAAUUCCACAUCAGUUAAUCAACUAUUGGUCGUUCGUUGACUUGGUCGAAUGAUCCACUUCUUAUCCAUAUUUUUCAUUGGUCAAGGUUUUUGUUGCUUAUGUUACUAGGUGAUGGGGCUUAAGAAACGCAUUGAAGAUGUACAAGGGUGGUUAGCAAUUGUUGAUUCAUAAUGAUAAAGUAUUAAAUAUGAAACUCUUUAUCUGAAAACAAGUUCUCCAAACGGGUGAAAUUUUUGAAGUGGUGAUUGAUUAUCUUUGGUGUACGAGAAAAGUAAUAGGUACUCAUGUUGAAUCUCUUGAAUUUUAUAUUACCGAUGAGUGGGGAAUAUGUACUUGCUCAAAUAAAAAAAAAAAUUAGUUUGCUUUU